GGGCAACCCUGGUGGCGAGUGGCGGACGGGUGAGUAAAGCAUCGGAACGUAUCCUGGAGUGGGGGAUAACGUAGCGAAAGUUACGCUAAUACCGCAUAUUCUGUGAGCAGGAAAGCAGGGGAUCGCAAGACCUUGCGCUCUGGGAGCGGCCGAUGUCGGAUUAGCUAGUUGGUGGGGUAAAGGCCUACCAAGGCGACGAUCCGUAGCGGGUCUGAGAGGAUGAUCCGCCACACUGGGACUGAGACACGGCCCAGACUCCUACGGGAGGCAGCAGUGGGGAAUUUUGGACAAUGGGCGCAAGCCUGAUCCAGCCAUGCCGCGUGAGUGAAGAAGGCCUUCGGGUUGUAAAGCUCUUUCGGCGGGGAAGAAAUUGCACGGGUUAAUACCCUGUGUAGAUGACGGUACCCGAAUAAGAAGCACCGGCUAACUACGUGCCAGCAGCCGCGGUAAUACGUAGGGUGCGAGCGUUAAUCGGAAUUACUGGGCGUAAGGCGUGCGCAGGCGGUUUGGUAAGUCAGAUGUGAAAUCCCCGGGCUCAACCUGGGAACUGCAUUUGAGACUGCCAGGCUGGAGUUUGGCAGAGGGGGGUGGAAUUCCACGUGUAGCAGUGAAAUGCGUAGAGAUGUGGAGGAACACCGAUGGCGAAGGCAGCCCCCUGGGCCAAUACUGACGCUCAUGCACGAAAGCGUGGGGAGCAAACAGGAUUAGAUACCCCGGUAGUCCACGCCCUANACGAUGUCAACUAGGUGUUGGGAGGGUUAAACCUUUUAGUGCCGUAGCUAACGCGUGAAGUUGACCGCC
rnacentral:rRNA from 1 species